rnacentral:rRNA from 1 species
UACGUAGGGUGCGAGCGUUGUCCGGAAUUAUUGGGCGUAAAGGGCUCGUAGGCGGUUUGUCGCGUCGGGAGUGAAAAUCCACUGGCUUAACUGGUGGCUUGCUUUCGAUACGGGCAGACUGGAGGUAUGCAGGGGGAGAACGGAAUUCCUGGUGUAGCGGUGAAAAUGCGCAGAUAUCAGGAGGAACACCGGUGGCGAAGGCGGUUCUCUGGGCCUUACCUGACGCUGAGGAGCGAAAAGCGUGGGGGAGCAAACAGG